UCUGGUGGUUACGGCGAAGAGGUCACACCCGUUCCCAUCCCGAACACGGAAGUUAAGCUUUUCAGCGCC
rnacentral:rRNA from 1 species